rnacentral:rRNA from 1 species
GAGUUUGAUCGUGGCUCAGAUUGAACGCUGGCGGCAUGCCUUACACAUGCAAGUCGAACGGCAGCAUGAUCUAGCUUGCUAGAUUGAUGGCGAGUGGCGAACGGGUGAGUAAUACAUCGGAACGUGCCCUGUAGUGGGGAUAACUAGUCGAAAGAUUAGCUAAUACCGCAUACGACCUGAGGGUGAAAGUGGGGGACCGCAAGGCCUCAUGCUAUAGGAGCGGCCGAUGUCUGAUUAGCUAGUUGGUGGGGUAAAGGCCCACCAAGGCGACGAUCAGUAGCUGGUCUGAGAGGACGAUCAGCCACACUGGGACUGAGACACGGCCCAGACUCCUACGGGAGGCAGCAGUGGGGAAUUUUGGACAAUGGGCGAAAGCCUGAUCCAGCAAUGCCGCGUGUGUGAAGAAGGCCUUCGG